AACGAACGCUGGUGGCAGGCUUAAAACACGCAAGUCGAACGGGUGUAGCAAUACAUCAGUGGCAGACGGGUGAGUAACACGUGGGAACCUUCCUAGGGGUACGGAACAACUCAGGGAAACUUGAGCUAAUACCGUAUACGUCCGUGAGGAGAAAGAUUUAUCGCCCUUAGACGGGCCCGCGUCGGAUUAGGUAGUUGGUGGGGUAACGGCCUACCAAGCCUACGAUCCGUAGCUGAUCUUAGAGGAUGAUCAGCCACACUGGGACUGAGACACGGCCCAGACUCCUACGGGAGGCAGCAGUGGGGAAUCUUGGACAAUGGGCGCAAGCCUGAUCCAGCCAUGCCGCGUGAGUGAAGAAGGCCUUAGGGUUGUAAAGCUCUUUUACCAGGGACGAUAAUGACGGUACCUGGAGAAUAAGCCCCGGCAAACUUCGUGCCAGCAGCCGCCGUAAUAC
rnacentral:rRNA from 1 species